rnacentral:rRNA from 1 species
GAUGAACGCUGGCGGCGUGCCUAAUACAUGCAAGUCGAGCGAACAGACGAGGAGCUUACUCCUCUGACGUUAGCGGCGGACGGGUGAGUAACACGUGGAUAACCUACCUAUAAGACUGGGAUAACUUCGGGAAACCGGAGCUAAUACCGGAUAACAUGUUGAACCGCAUGGUUCAACAGUGAAAGACGGUCUUGCUGUCACUUAUAGAUGGAUCCGCGUCGCAUUAGCUAGUUGGUAAGGUAACGGCUUACCAAGGCAACGAUGCGUAGCCGACCUGAGAGGGUGAUCGGCCACACUGGAACUGAGACACGGUCCAGACUCCUACGGGAGGCAGCAGUAGGGAAUCUUCCGCAAUGGGCGAAAGCCUGACGGAGCAACGCCGCGUGAGUGAAGAAGGUCUUCGGAUCGUAAAACUCUGUUAUUAGGGAAGAACAAAUGUGUAAGUAACUUUGCACGUCUUGACGGUACCUAAUCAGAAAGCCACGGCUAACUACGUG